rnacentral:lncRNA from 1 species
UAGCAUUUGCAGUCAACUCAACCCACGAAGGGAAAACCAUCCCAAUACAGGUUAGCUCACACACCUCCGAAAAUCCGUUUCUCGGGAAUAUGGGUUUCCUCAUGAUGUUUUCCUUCACCGCUGAGCACGUGAUUAUCAUUUAUGAUCCAAACAUGUAUUCGAAAACAAAUUCGACAAUCAUUAGUUUAGACCAUAAUAAUUAUUAUGAUAGGAGUGAACAGGAAAAUCAUCGUCGUCGAAACGCAGUUGCGCACAGUUAACGAAGGAAUUUGUUGAUGAGUUUGUAUUUACUUACUUUCUAACUCAACCGACAGCAUGAUUGGUGAGUUCAAAAUUCGGAUACUUUGCAGCGAAUUUCAAAUGAAUGUACCAGGAAAGCAUAGGUUUGUAGAAGUUCGCUGGCAACAGCCAACAUUGCGUGACAGACCAGCUCUCAGAACAAUAGAUGUCUCUUUCGCACUUGCCUGUAUACUAUCUUUCUAUCCCGUUCUCAAAUUAAUCAUCUUAUGAUGUAUGUUGAGGGUAGUUCGAAAUUUUAGUAGUAUUUUGUCAGCAUACAGUCGGGCGCUAUUGUUUCUGUUUCCGACAAACAUAUAUCAGUUUCUUUCUGACACAUUAAAUACAUCCAUUUAAAAAAGGAGAUAAACAUAAGAGAGUAAUGCAAUAUAUUUUCCUAUCUCCCUUUCGCACUAGGCUGUAUACUAUAUUUCCGUCCCAUAUGAGCCAAACACACUGUCAUAAAUAUCUGAAAAUUAUUUGAUAAUGGCAGGCAGUUCAAAAUUUGGUUUGGAGUAAAUGAAUGUUGGGCCUUGGUAACAAUAAGUAUAGUUAGUUGCCUCUUUCGGAUUAUUUUGUAGACUAUCUUUCUGUCCUGUUCUCAAAUAAACAUCCUAAAUUUAACGGAAUAUGCACUAGGAGAAAAACAAAUUGGUGGCUAAAUCGGUAAUUUUGCUGUGAAUCUCAGAUGAAUGUACCAGGAUAGCAUAGGUUUGUAGAAGUUCGCUUUCACACAGCCACUAUUGCUUGAGAGACUAGCUCUCAGAACAAUAGAUGUCUCUUUCCCACUUGCCUGUAUAAUAUAUUUCUGUCCUGUUGUAAAAUUGAUCAUCGUAUGAUGUAUGUUGAGGGUAGUUCGAAAUUUUAGUAGUAUUUCGUCAGCUUGUUUCUGUUUCUGGCAAACAUAUAUCUGUUUCUUUCUGACACAUUACAUACAUCCAUUUAAAAAAAAAGAGAUAAACAUACGAGAUUAAUGCAAAACAUUUUCCUAUCUCCCUUUCGCACUAGGCUGUAUACUAUAUUUCCGUCCCAUAUGAGCCAAACACCCUGUCAUAAAUAUCUGAAAAUUAUUUGAUAAUGGCAGGCAGUUAAAAAUUUGGUUUGGAGUAAUGUUGGGCAUUGGUAACAAACAAUAAGUAUAGUUUCCUCUCUCGGAUUAGUCUGUACAUUAUCUUUCUGUCCUGUUCUCAAAUUAACAUCCUAAAUGUAAUGGAUAUGCAAUAGCAACCUCCGUGGUCUAGUGGUUAGAGCAUUAGGCUCACGAUCUGGAGGUCCGGGUUCGAUUCCCGAUGGGGACAUUGUCGGAAUCACUUUGUGAGACUGUCCUUUGUUUGGUAAGGACUUUUCAGGCUUGAAUCACCUGAUUGUCCGAAAAAGUAAGAUGAUUCUGUGCUUCGGAUGGCACGUUAAGCCGUUGGUCCCGGCUAUUAGCCGUAAAAACACCUCCACCAACCCGCAUUGGAGCAGCGUGGUGGAGUAUGCUCCAUACCCCCUCCGGUUGAUUGAGGGGAGGUAUGCAAUAGCAGAAAAAUAAAAAUCAGUUAGUUUUAAAUUGGUGAGCUAAUUCGGUAAUUUUGCUGUGAAUCUCAGAUGAAUGUACCAGGAUAGCAUAGGUUUGUAGAAGUUCGCUUUCACACAGCCACUAUUGCUUGAGAGACCAGCUCUCAGAACAAUAGAUGUCUCUUUCCCACUUGCCUGUAUAAUAUAUUUCUGUCCUGUUGUAAAAUCAAUCAUCGUAUGAUGUAUGUUGAGGGUAGUUCGAAAUUUUAGUAGUAUUUCGUCGGCAUAUAGCCGGGCGCUAUUGUUUGUCUGUUUCUGGCAAACAUAUCUCUGUUUCUUUCUGACACAUUACAUACAACAAUUUAAAAAGGACAUAAGCAUUCGAGAAUAAUGCAAUACAUUUUCCUAUCUCCCUUUCGCACUAGGCUGUAUACUAUAUUUCCGUCCCAUAUGAGCCAAACACACUAUUAUAAAUAUCUAAAAAUUAUUUGAUGAUGGCGGGCAGUUCAAAAUUUGGUUUGGAGUAAAUUAAUGAUGGGCCUUGGUAACAAUAAGUAUAGUUUCCUCUCUCGGAUUAGUCCGACACUAUCUUUCUGUGCUGUUCUCAAAUUAACAUCCUCAAUUUAAUGGAAUAUGCAAUAGCAGAAAAAUAAACAUCAGUUAGUUUCAAAUUGGUGGGCUAAUUCGUUAAUUUUGCUGUGAAUCUCAGAUGAAUGUACCAGGAUAGCAUAGGUUUGUAGAAGUUCGCUUUCACACAGCCAAUAUUGCGUGACAGACCAGCUCUCAGAACAAUAGAUGUCUCUUUCCUACUUGCCUGUAUAAUAUAUUUCUGUCCUGUUGUAAAAUUGAUCAUCGUAUGAUGAAUGUUGAGGGUAGUUCGAAAUUUUAGUAUUAUUUUGUCAACAUAUAGCCGGGCGCUAUUGUUUGUCUGUUUCUGGCAAACAUAUAUCUGUUUCUUUCUGACACAUUACAUACAUCCAUUUAAAAAAGGAGAUAAACAUACGAGAGUAAUGCAAUAAUACAUUUUCCUAUCUCCCUUUCGCACUAGGCUGUAUACUAUAUUUCCGUCCCAUAUGAGCCAAACACACUAUUAUAAAUAUCUGAAAAUUAUUUGAUGAUGGCGGGCAGUUCAAAAUUUGGUUUGGAGUAAAUGAAUGUCGGGCCUUGAUAACAAUAAAUAUAGUUUCCUCUUUCGGAUAAGUCUGUACACUAUAUUUCUGUCCUGUUCUCAAAUUAACAUCCUACAUUUAACAGAAUAUGCACUAGGAGAAAAACAAAUUGGUGGCUAAAUCGGUAAUUUUGCUGUGAAUCUCAGAUGAAUGUACCAGGAUAGCAUAGGUUUGUAGAAGUUCGCUUUCACACAGCCACUAUUGCUUGAGAGACUAGCUCUCAGAACAAUAGAUGUCUCUUUCCUACUUGCCUGUAUAAUAUAUUUCUGUCCUGUUGUAAAAUUGAUCAUCGUAUGAUGUAUGUUGAGGGUAGUUCGAAAUUUUAGUAGUAUUUCGUCAGCUUGUUUCUGUUUCUGGCAAACAUAUAUCUGUUUCUUUCUGACACAUUACAUACAUCCAUUUAAAAAAAAAGAGAUAAACAUACGAGAUUAAUGCAAAACAUUUUCCUAUCUCCCUUUCGCACUAGGCUGUAUACUAUAUUUCCGUCCCAUAUGAGCCAAACACCCUGUCAUAAAUAUCUGAAAAUUAUUUGAUAAUGGCAGGCAGUUAAAAAUUUGGUUUGGAGUAAUGUUGGGCAUUGGUAACAAACAAUAAGUAUAGUUUCCUCUCUCGGAUUAGUCUGUACAUUAUCUUUCUGUCCUGUUCUCAAAUUAACAUCCUAAAUGUAAUGGAUAUGCAAUAGCAACCUCCGUGGUCUAGUGGUUAGAGCAUUAGGCUCACGAUCUGGAGGUCCGGGUUCGAUUCCCGAUGGGGACAUUGUCGGAAUCACUUUGUGAGACUGUCCUUUGUUUGGUAAGGACUUUUCAGGCUUGAAUCACCUGAUUGUCCGAAAAAGUAAGAUGAUUCUGUGCUUCGGAUGGCACGUUAAGACGUUGGUCCCGGCUAUUAGCCGUAAAAACACCUCCACCAACCCGCAUUGGAGCAGCGUGGUGGAGUAUGCUCCAUACCCCCUCCGGUUGAUUGAGGGGAGGUAUGCAAUAGCAGAAAAAUAAAAAUCAGUUAGUUUUAAAUUGGUGAGCUAAUUCGGUAAUUUUGCUGUGAAUCUCAGAUGAAUGUACCAGGAUAGCAUAGGUUUGUAGAAGUUCGCUUUCACACAGCCACUAUUGCUUGAGAGACCAGCUCUCAGAACAAUAGAUGUCUCUUUCCCACUUGCCUGUAUAAUAUAUUUCUGUCCUGUUGUAAAAUCAAUCAUCGUAUGAUGUAUGUUGAGGGUAGUUCGAAAUUUUAGUAGUAUUUCGUCGGCAUAUAGCCGGGCGCUAUUGUUUGUCUGUUUCUGGCAAACAUAUCUCUGUUUCUUUCUGACACGUCAUUACAUACAACAAUUUAAAAAGGACAUAAGCAUUCGAGAAUAAUGCAAUACAUUUUCCUAUCUCCCUUUCGCACUAGGCUGUAUACUAUAUUUCCGUCCCAUAUGAGCCAAACACACUAUUAUAAAUAUCUAAAAAUUAUUUGAUGAUGGCGGGCAGUUCAAAAUUUGGUUUGGAGUAAAUUAAUGAUGGGCCUUGGUAACAAUAAGUAUAGUUUCCUCUCUCGGAUUAGUCCGACACUAUCUUUCUGUGCUGUUCUCAAAUUAACAUCCUCAAUUUAAUGGAAUAUGCAAUAGCAGAAAAAUAAACAUCAGUUAGUUUCAAAUUGGUGGGCUAAUUCGUUAAUUUUGCUGUGAAUCUCAGAUGAAUGUACCAGGAUAGCAUAGGUUUGUAGAAGUUCGCUUUCACACAGCCACUAUUGCUUGAGAGACCAGCUCUCAGAACAAUAGAUGUCUCUUUCCCACUUGCCUGUAUAAUAUAUUUCUGUCCUGUUGUAAAAUCAAUCAUCGUAUGAUGUAUGUUGAGGGUAGUUCGAAAUUUUAGUAGUAUUUCGUCGGCAUAUAGCCGGGCGCUAUUGUUUGUCUGUUUCUGGCAAACAUAUCUCUGUUUCUUUCUGACACAUUACAUACAACAAUUUAAAAAGGACAUAAGCAUUCGAGAAUAAUGCAAUACAUUUUCCUAUCUCCCUUUCGCACUAGGCUGUAUACUAUAUUUCCGUCCCAUAUGAGCCAAACACACUAUUAUAAAUAUCUAAAAAUUAUUUGAUGAUGGCGGGCAGUUCAAAAUUUGGUUUGGAGUAAAUUAAUGAUGGGCCUUGGUAACAAUAAGUAUAGUUUCCUCUCUCGGAUUAGUCCGACACUAUCUUUCUGUGCUGUUCUCAAAUUAACAUCCUCAAUUUAAUGGAAUAUGCAAUAGCAGAAAAAUAAACAUCAGUUAGUUUCAAAUUGGUGGGCUAAUUCGUUAAUUUUGCUGUGAAUCUCAGAUGAAUGUACCAGGAUAGCAUAGGUUUGUAGAAGUUCGCUUUCACACAGCCAAUAUUGCGUGACAGACCAGCUCUCAGAACAAUAGAUGUCUCUUUCCUACUUGCCUGUAUAAUAUAUUUCUGUCCUGUUGUAAAAUUGAUCAUCGUAUGAUGAAUGUUGAGGGUAGUUCGAAAUUUUAGUAUUAUUUUGUCAACAUACAGCCGGGCGCUAUUGUUUGUCUGUUUCUGGCAAACAUAUAUCUGUUUCUUUCUGACACAUUACAUACAUCCAUUUAAAAAAAAAGAGAUAAACAUACGAGAUUAAUGCAAAACAUUUUCCUAUCUCCCUUUCGCACUAGGCUGUAUACUAUAUUUCCGUCCCAUAUGAGCCAAACACACUAUUAUAAAUAUCUGAAAAUUAUUUGAUGAUGGCGGGCAGUUCAAAAUUUGGUUUGGAGUAAAUUAAUGAUGGGCCUUGGUAACAAUAAGUAUAGUUUCCUCUCUCGGAUUAGUCCGACACUAUCUUUCUGUGCUGUUCUCAAAUUAACAUCCUCAAUUUAAUGGAAUAUGCAAUAGCAGAAAAAUAAACAUCAGUUAGUUUCAAAUUGGUGGGCUAAUUCGUUAAUUUUGCUGUGAAUCUCAGAUGAAUGUACCAGGAUAGCAUAGGUUUGUAGAAGUUCGCUUUCACACAGCCAAUAUUGCGUGACAGAUCAGCUCUCAGAACAAUAGAUGUCUCUUUCCCACUUGUCUGUAUAAUAUAUUUCUGUCCUGUUGUAAAAUUUAUCAUCGUAUGAUGUAUGUUGAGGGUAGUUCGAAAUUUUAGUAGUAUUUCGUCAGCUUGUUUCUGUUUCUGGCAAACAUAUAUCUGUUUCUUUCUGACACAUUACAUACAUCCAUUUAAAAAAAAAAGAGAUAAACAUACGAGAUUAAUGCAAAACAUUUUCCUAUCUCCCUUUCGCACUAGGCUGUAUACUAUAUUUCCGUCCCAUAUGAGCCAAACACCCUGUCAUAAAUAUCUGAAAAUUAUUUGAUAAUGGCAGGCAGUUAAAAAUUUGGUUUGGAGUAAUGUUGGGCAUUGGUAACAAACAAUAAGUAUAGUUUCCUCUCUCGGAUUAGUCUGUACAUUAUCUUUCUGUCCUGUUCUCAAAUUAACAUCCUAAAUGUAAUGGAUAUGCAAUAGCAACCUCCGUGGUCUAGUGGUUAGAGCAUUAGGCUCACGAUCUGGAGGUCCGGGUUCGAUUCCCGAUGGGGACAUUGUCGGAAUCACUUUGUGAGACUGUCCUUUGUUUGGUAAGGACUUUUCAGGCUUGAAUCACCUGAUUGUCCGAAAAAGUAAGAUGAU